ACUGGGGCUAAUCCCCGAUAGGUGAGGAUGCCUGGAAUGGUUCCUCACCGAAAGGGCGCUGGCACCGUGCUGUCAGCGUCGCCCAAGGAUGGGGCCGCGGCCGAUCAGGUUGUUGGUGGGGUAACGGCCCACCAAGCCGAUAACCGGUACGGGCCGUGGGAGCGGGAGCCCGGAGAUGGGCACUGAGAUAAGGGCCCAGGCCCUACGGGGCGCAGCAGUCGCGAAAACUCCGCAAUGCGCGAAAGCGCGACGGGGCCACCCCGAGUGCCGCCCGCUGAGGGUGGCUUUUCCCCGGUGUAGAUAGCCGGGGGAAUAAGGAGAGGGCAAGUCUGGUGUCAGCCGCCGCGGUAAUACCAGCUCUCCGAGUGGUGGGGACGAUUAUUGGGCCUAAAGCGUCCGUAGCCGGCCUGGCAAGUCUCCCGUUAAAUCCAGCGAUCUAAUCGCUGGACUGCGGGAGAUACUGUUGGGCUAGGGGGCGGGAGAGGCCGGCGGUAUUCCCGGGGUAGGGGUGAAAUCCUAUAAUCCCGGGAGGACCACCAGUGGCGAAGGCUGCCGGCUGGAACGCGCCCGACGGUGAGGGACGAAAGCCGGGGGAGCGAACCGGAUUAGAUACCCGGGUAGUCCCAGCUGUAAACGAUGCGGGCUAAGUGUCGGGACGGCCUUAGAGCCGUCCCGGUGCUGCAGGGAAGCCGUUAAGCCCGCCGCCUGGGGAGUACGGCCGCAAGGCUGAAACUUAAAGGAAUUGGCGGGGGAGCACCACAAGGGGUGAAGCUUGCGGUUUAAUUGGAGUCAACGCCGGA
rnacentral:rRNA from 1 species